GGCAGUUCUCGGUUGACGCAUCCCAGAAUCGGGCUCCCUCCUCUCUGGUUCUGGGUGUAUCUCCCAAGAACCACA
rfam:Myotis brandtii contig239215, whole genome shotgun sequence.